rnacentral:rRNA from 1 species
CGGAUCGUAAACUCCUGUCAGAUGGGACGAAGGCUUGGAGGCAAAUAGUUUUCGAGUUUGACGGUACCAUCAGAGGAAGCCCCGGCUAACUCCGUGC